rnacentral:lncRNA from 1 species
AAAGGUUUAUGAUGUGACUAAAGGCAUCCGUUUUGAAGAUCCUAAACAACACGUAUGAUUUGUUUCUAAGAUUGUUGAUUUUAAUGCAGGUUGAACAAGUAUGGAAAUUUGAUUCUUAAUGGUCAAGUUUUGAACAUUAGGUCAAUAGCUGGCACAUAGAAUUACUCUUUAGAUUUACUUCUGGCAUAUAGAACUUAAUUUGCCAAUUUGUGGUAAAAUAUAUGCUAGGUUAGGAAUUCUAGGAGUGUUUCCCAUAACAUUCUCCAAAACAAUAUGGAGUAAGAGAAACUUUGCCUCUACUU